UACGUAGGGUGCGAGCGUUAAUCGGAAUUACUGGGCGUAAAGCGCGUGUAGGCGGCUUUACAAGUCGGAUGUGAAAGCCCACGGCUCAACCGUGGAAGUGCAUCCGAAACUGUAUCGCUGGAGUCCCGGAGAGGAAGGUGGAAUGCUUGGUGUAGAGGUGAAAUUCGUAGAUAUCAAGCAGAACACCUGCGGCGAAGGCGGCCUUCUGGACGGUGACUGACGCUGAGACGCGAAAGCGUGGGGAGCAAACAGG
rnacentral:rRNA from 1 species